CAGCCCGGCGCGCGCGUCUUCCGGGCGUCAGGCGUCUGGUCUGGUUCGCAUCGCUCACUCUCCUCAACUUUUCUCUCGGGGCGGUCCUCGCCUAGGCUCCUCUCUCUCGUAGGCCUCGAAAGCACCGGGAAGCGUGCGGGGAAGCCUCUCGUUCUCCGAGAGAGACCCAGAGCCCGCGGUGGGGGCGCAGCCGCACGCCCGGGUCGGCUCGGAGGCUCGGCUUUGCCCCUGGAUGCUUCUGGUCGGUUCCAGAGCAAGUUCAGCCUGGGUCUGAGGCCUCGUGGCGCUUUUGCUGUUUUUCUGAUAAUUUGGGUGAUUGAACGUCUCAGUGAGGUCUUAAUUACCGACUCUCUAAAAACGCCAGCGUUUAAGCUUCCGCUGUUCACCCAGAUCUCAGUGUAGUCAAGGGAAAUGCUGUGCUUUUUUUUCUUGGAUUGUGUACGGACUAGUGUCUCUUAAGAACAGAACUGUGUUUUGAAGAAAAUGUAUAAUCGCAAAGGAUGACCAAGAAGGGUCAUAACUUGAGUCUUUGAACGGCGAAUGCAUACCUGGAAUUAGCAAACAGCUUGGGCUCUUUCCCUCACACUCCCCCAUGUUUUCUUUUGACUGACGUUCCCUGCUGUCUGCAGUGUUCCAAAUGCUUUGAAAGCCUCGAGCAACUAAUAUAAUUAGGGAGCGUUGAGAACAUGUGACAAUUCUGACUUCUCUGCUUCUUAAGAAAAUUUACAUUUAAAUCCAUGAGAUUCUGUGGGGAUAAUGGUCUUAAAAUGAACACGUUAGUACUGGCUGUUGCCAGGCACUGUUCUGAGGGCUUUACAAAUGGUUACUCACUUAAUCCAUACGACAACUCCACUAGGAAAAUACCAUUAUCCCCGUUUUUAAAGAUGGAGAAGGAACAUUUACUGUGAAGUAAAUGGCACCGCUGGAAUCCAAACCCUGAUGAGGCAGAGUCUGUUGUUGACCACUGUCUAUACUAAAGGUGAUUUAAAACAGGUACCAGAUGCUCCUGUAACAAGAGCAGCACGGAGGCUCUUUCCCAGAGAAGAGAAAGUGAUCAAAAAUGAGGAAAAAAAAAAUCAAGAGUGAGAAAAAAUCGAAUAGAACAGGCUUCUUCCAGAUGAGAAAAAAACCCUAAAGCUCAUAGAGAUGAAGGAAUUUUACCGACAGCACACAGCUGGAGCCACACAACGUUCUCCACCCCAGCUGAUUGAGAUCAACUUUUAAAAUUAGGAAAAUGAACAUAAAACUCUGGAUUCUUGGUUGGGGAGAUCCUCACCACUAGAGAUGGAAACACCUGGCUGGAGGAGGACACGGUCAGGGUGCAGGACGGGCCUCUGGCGGGAUUGCUGGCGCCGUGGAGACGAUUCAUUAGCCUAUGAGCUGCCGAACCUCAGCUGUUCUCUCCAGCGACGUGUGUGACAAGGAGCUGACCUUUCAAUGGAACGACUCACUGAGUGGUCACAUGCCCUGAGGUUGAUCACCGGCUCCCCAGAGCACAAAAAUUCUGCAGCACAAACGACAAAGGCCAAACCCAGCCUUGCCACUUUCUAGCUGUGUGACCUCGGACAAGUUACUUCAACUCCCACUGCCUCAGUUACUGCAUCCGGAAAAUGGCAAUGAUGAUCCUAGUACUUACAUCUUAAGGAGUAAAGAGACACACUCAGGCUGCACGGCUGUAGGAGGCUGUGUGCCGGGACAGAGGGGGACUGAAGGAGGACAGCACGCAGACCCAGCCACCCUGAGCCCAGCAUCAAGGAACUAGGAAAAUUGUCCAGGAACUGGGACAGCAUUCCAGGUGUCCGAAUGACAAUUUCAAUUUAUGACAAACCUCUCGGUGUCGUUAUCACUACUACCAACCCGUCGGAGUGGCAUUGUUACUUCCCUUCUAGGGAGGAAGGAGCUGAGGACAGGUUAACGAGCUUGCCAUGGUCACGCCGCUGAGGGACUGGGGAUUGAACCCUGGACCUGUGCACGCUCAGCAUGUGCUAUAUCCCUUCCUGUCGCCAGAUUAAAUCAGAAAAGAAAGCCCAGCUUGGGCACAGUGACAACACACGUGGCCUCAGGUAUGUUCUUAUGUAAGCUGGAGAAACAGGAAAGCUGGUGGUGUGAUCCAGUCUGAGUCCAAAGGCCUGAGAACCAGAGGAGCUGAUGAUAUUUUUCCAGCCUGUUUCUGAGACCUUCCCAGCUUCACUCUCUCAGCCCUUCCACUGUGUGUUAAAGAGAAUUUCAACGUUCCAAUAAGAAAAAAAAAAUCACCACGUUGACAUGUCCAAAUGCUUAUCACUGUCGCAGGCAGCACUUUUGUAUAACAAUUCAAGCUACGUUCCGUUUAGACCUCGAAUCAUUUAUAAAGGCAGGUCCCUCCCGACGACGCCGGCAGAGAAUAGCCGCCCGCGUGGGUGGUCCGGGCCCCGGAGCCCAAACGCCAAGGGAACAGAUGACAUCAUGGAUUCACAUGGCAAGCUUAUGGAGCCGCGGUUCAGCCCGCCCGGCGGAGCAGCAGUCCGGAGCUGCCUGCAUUCUCUCUGCCGGAGCAUUCUCCGCUCCAGAGCAGAGUCACAGGACCGGGACGCUUCGAGAUGAUAUUUUUAAACCUGACAUUCAAAAAGACUGGAACAUUCACAAGCAUUGGCAAGACGCUGCUGAAACUACACAUUCCGAACGGGGCAGCGCGGUGGGCUGGGGCGGGGGUGGUCAUCACACAGAAUGAGUUUGCAAAGUGGCACAGCAGACCCUUUGCCUGCCUGAAUUGCUAAUUCUGUCCUCCCCAUCCCCCCCACCCCACCCCAAAAAGACUGUUAUCCAUCUUUUCCCAGACUUCUGUUAGGCGUUCUGGGCUGGCACAGAGGGGAGCAAUGCACCGAUUUCUGCAUGGACCCUGUAGGAAUUGCAGUCUGGGAUGAGGUUUACAAGAACACAAGUUAAAUCAGACUUACGUGGAGUUUCCACCAGAUUUCAAGGUUAUUGGAGAACACCUGCCACUGGCAAGAGUGUCCCUGAAUGCCAGCCCAGAGACCCACUGAACUUCCUGCUCUCAUUGUGCUCUUCCCAAGCUGAAGAAUCUGAGGCAGACUCCUGCUGGAAAUGACACUUCCUCUGGAGAAUGAUCCUCUUCUGUCUGAGAAGGACAUUUCCUCUGGGAUACACAAGGAGUGUCCAGAGAGGAUGGCAAGAUGGGGCCAUCAGAUCACAUUCACGUUCCCUCUUGUUUUUCCAGUCACUUUCCUCUACAUUCUAUACAUCUUCUCUCCAGCGAAGCCAACACCUAACUUCUAGAAUGAGGUAAGGGAAUAAUUAUGCAAAAAUAGUGUACUAGUUAUCUACUGCUGUGUAACAAAUGACCCCCCAAACCCAGCAGCUUAUACAACACACAUGUAUAAUGUCACAGUUUCUGAGGGCAGCAUCACUGGAUGGUUCCAGCCCAGGGUCUCUCAUGAGGCUGUAGGUACCCAGGUAGGAGCUGAGCUGCUUUCAAGUCCACUCCUGAGGUUGUGGGAAGGGUUCCAUUCCUCACAGCUGUUGGCUGAAGAUGUCAGUUCCUCACCACAUGGGCCCCUUCACAGGUUGCCUGAGUGUCUUCAAGAUGUGGCAUCCAGCUUUCCUUAAAGUCAAGGUUCCAGAAAAGAGAGUCCAAGAUGGGAGCCACACUUGUUUGUAACCAACUCUCAGAAGUGGCUUCCUUUCCUUUUGCUGCCUUCUGUUGACUCGGCACAGACCAGCCCUGAUCUGGAAGGGGUUCCACAGGGGCAGUCCUGUUUGUGCCCAUUUUACUUUAUUUUAUUUUAAAGAUAAUCAGAAUUCCAUUUCAUUUCAUUUUUAAUACAAUUUUUGGCGGCAGGGGGGUAGGUAGUUUGGUAUGUUUGUUUGUUUAAUGGAGGCACUGGGAAUUGAACCCAGGACCUCAUGCAUGCUAAGUAUGUGCUCUACCACUAAGCUAUACCCUCCUCGUGCCUAUUUUAUUUUAAUGAUGGUAAGAUGCACCGUAUUUCAUACACCACUAAGAAAGACAGAACAUAUGGGCCCUAUUCAAAUGUAACACAACACUUUCAGCUCACUUGGAUUUACUUAAUACUUAUUGAAAGAGCUCUUUUGGACUUACUCAGAUAGGGAUUACCAUCUUAUAUCAUUCUUGUGCUCGCAGAAGAAGAGGAGUAGAAACAAAUUAGUUGACGUCUUAAGCUUCUUCACAUACGGCGUGUGCUCGUCUGAAUAGUUAUUUCAACUCAAAGCUGUCAAUGUCCGUGUUUUUCUGGCCACAGGCUCGUCCUCUGAGCCGUCAAGAGAGGGGCACUGGUGAUGCAGUGCUUCACGAAGAGGGCUCUGCCACAGGCUUUAGGGCUUUCUUUCAAGUCUUUGACACCCACUCAGCAAGAUUUGAAACAGUAGCAUCCAGCCCCUCCAUCGCCUCAUAAAAUAGUAAUGCUAAGUGAUUUCCCCCAGGUCACAAACUGAGGAAUGACAGUCAGAAGUCAGCUCCUGGGCUAGGACUCCAGGUUCGGGGCUCUUCCCCCCCAGCAGACCUGUCUCCUCGAGCCACAGGGAAACUCUGCAGUGAAACCACAGGGUUAGAGUAAACUCCCGCAGCGGAAAGCCUGGAAUUCUGUUUUAAACGACGCCAAAAACUUCAAUCAGCACCAAAGUGGAAAUCAUGCACUAAUUGGAGUUCAAUGAUGCAGAUAAUAUGGAAUGGGGAACGCUGGCUGACAGGCAGCUCUCUCCAGCAGCUCAGGCACUUUCUCUGCAUUUCAGCACCAGCAGCAGAACUCAGAAUGACAACAGCAACAAAAAAAGGUAAAAGAGGGCAGUUGUUGGGCCAAGGGUCUCCCACGUAUCCACACGUUUCAUGUCUACCUGCCAUCCUCUCUCCGUUCGCCAUCUUUGGAAAGCCCAGACCACUGCGGAGUUCACUGUCAAUGGCCUUCAUUAUAACUAAGGCUCACCAACAGCUCUCGCGUGCUCCUGGCUCGGGGGACAUCUGGACCAGCAGCCAUUUGCUAACAAGUGUCCUUGGAUGUAUGUGUUCUCCACUUUGGGAGGAAAGUCACUGCAUUCGUCGCCAUUGAUCUAAACCUUACAUUUGGCUAAAUGGUUUAAAAGGCUGAUGCUACUUAAUAAAAAAACCAUAACAACCGAGGAAAAAAUCCAUUUUUGCCUUCAAUGUCCAAUCUUGAACACAAAAUACUCUGUUAAGGGGAUGGAGUUAGGAUUGAUCUCCCAUUUCCUGGAAAAAAAAUCUUUAUAUUAUUGUUAUGUUUUAAAAUAAACAAGAAAUUCACUAUGUACAAGUGAAAGAUUAAUUUUCUAUAUAAUUAUCUCAUCAAGGUAGGUAGCCAUUAACUUCAAAAUUAAGUCAAUCACUCUAUGUAGUUCCGGUUUCAGGUAACCAAGUCUUUGGGAACACCGUGGAAGGAAAAUACAUAGGGACAAACUCCUUUAUUCUUUUCAGGAGAAUUUUAUAUUUUCACUCUUUAUGACUCACAAGCCUGUUUAAAUUCAACAGUAAACUGUAUAAUGAGUUAUGUAAAUUAAAGAAUGAUUUCAAAUGAUUCAAUUCAUGGAGAACUGUUUGAGAAGAUUAAAGAAAGGUGAAAUUUCUAAAUCACAGGAGAUAUUUCAAAUCCAAGGUUUAAUUCAUAGGGCUCAUUUAUUUCCUGUUUUAAAAUAUGUCAGGUUUUAAUUGCCUCAUUAGCACAUCCAGUGAUUUAAAAGGGUAAAUAUCUUGAUACGGCAGAUGCGAAAAAAGACAACAGAAAAUGUUCUGCACACACUGCGAGACCACUGGAACAGGAAGGACGCGGCUCACUGUAACUUCCCAUAUUACAGAUGAAGAAACUGAGGUCCAGGCUAGUGAAUAACAAUCUAGGUAAUCUCAUGUUGAGGGGGCAGAGGGGAAUUUCAGGAUGAGGCAGGGAAGGAGUUAAUAGGAGGAGACAAAACAUCAAGUUGUAAGUCAAAAUAAAAGGAGUUCAAUUUGCAAAUUUAGAGAAAAGGAUACCUUAAUGCAUGCUUAUGGGGAAACAAACAAAACCAGAAAAAAAAAAACUGUAGAAUGUUUUGUCCUUUUACCACUAAAAAAGUGAGGUGAGCCAAGAAUAAGGUGGGCAUUUAACCUAGUAGGAUUAAGAUUUGUUCUGUCAUACUGGACAUGACCUUUACAGCAAUGGGUUCCAUUAUACUGUGGGAGAAAAAUCAAUGUAAAGUGAACCUUAAGAGAUAGAGCAACGUUUGACUUACUUAGCUCCAUGCGCUUGUGGGGAAAAUCUGGGAAGAAGUUUGGGAAGGCUUUGUGUCAGGCACAGAAUUGGAUCCCAAAAGGAACAACAUGAUUUAUGUAUAAAAGGGGGGCCUUGAGCCUACGAUCCAAGAAUUCAGGAUAUAGCCCACUUGCAGAAAGGUGGGGCCGCGUGGUCUGUUCUGGCCAAUGGACCAUAAGCACAAGUAGCAAGGUGAGGCCAAAAGAUACCACGUGACAUCUCAACUAUCUCUCCCUCUUCUGAGGGGCGUCACGGAGCCGGGAGAUGAGUCAGGAGACACAGAAUUCAAGAAGCCUGGGUCACUCUGUCUCUGAUCAAGAUGCGUUAACCUUGCGAGUCAGCAGACCUACAGUGGACUUCGCGUGAGUGAGAAAGAAACACUGUAUCUUAAGUCACUGCAGUUUGGCGGUUGUUCAUUGCAGCAGCACACGCCUAGCCUAGCCUGGUUCAUUCACCUCCGUUGGCUGCCAACCCACAAUGUCUUGCCCCGUCUCCACAGUGGCAUCACUGCUGGGAAGGAAGCUUGGGCUAGGAGACUGCAGUCCAUUCUCCUGUCGGUCCAUGUCAACUGAUUUGGUAACUUUGGGAGGCGUGGAUAAUCAGGUUAAUUAAUUAAUUGAUGGAGGUCCUGAGGAUGGAACCCAGGACCUAGUGCAUGCUAAGCACACACUCCACCACUGAGCUACACCCUCCCCUUAUGUCCACUGGUUUGGGAUUGAGUGGAUGCAGCAGCCAGGAGUGUUGGUCCCACCAAGAGUGUGGCUGUGGGUGUACAAUCACCCAACAUUUCACUGUGUGAGGUCAGGAGGAAAGGUCAGGCUUUCCUGAAAGCAGGAAAAUUCAUGACUUGGGUGAAAUAAAAGACAGCUUGAGAAUAUUUAGAAAUCUUUGGAAGUUGCUAAACUUGCAAGAGAAAUAGAGAAAGUACCAUUUCCCACAGAAAUGCAGUUCAUACCUUGAAGGGAAGCUGGCCUGGCAGACUGGGGGAGGGGAAACCUAGAGGCUGCUACGUGGAACCACGUUCAGUGGUUCUCUCUGACUUCCUUCCAAAGUGUGCAGUGCACAAGGCGGGAGGAGUCACUCUACCGUGGAGAGAGCUGACCAAUGUUCCCUCAGCCAGGUCGUCAAGGCCACCACGAACAGUGAUAAGUCAUGUCCACAGUGUGCCUUGAUGUGAUGUGACAGGAAUGACCCUUUAUCUCUGAGGUCUUCCUCCCAAUAACCCAGGACCACAGUUUUAUCAUGAGAAAAACACUAGACAAAUUCCAGCAGUGGGACGUGCUACGAAAUACCUGACCGGUGCUCCUGAGAACAGUCAAGGUCAUCAGAAACAAGGAAAGUCUGGGAAACUGCCAUGGCCAAGAGGAACCUCAAGUAGACCUGACAACUAAAUGUACUGUGGUGUCCUGGAUGGGAUUCUGGAACAGAAAAAGGACACUGAGGAAAACCGGGGAAAUAAUCAAAUUGGAACUUGAGUUAAUAAGAAUGUGUUGAUAUCGAUUCAUUCUUUAUAACAGAUGUAUCAUACACGUGUAAGAUGUUAAUAAUUGGGUAAACUGGGUGUGAAGUACAUGAGAAUUCUUCAUACUAUCAUCUCAAUUUUUCUGUAAAUCUAAAACUGUCUUAAAAAAUACAGUUUAUUAAAAAGAAAAAAAAGGUAAAAAAGGAAAAAGAGGCAAAUUUGUCUGAGAUGGUCUCUGAUGAGCAUACCCUAAUUACAGCUGAUGCUGAGUGUCCCUCUCCUGGAUGCGUUUUUCCCCUUUUCUGAAAUGGAUGCUGGAGGGGAGAUACUGCGCUAUGUUGUGCUCCCAGGAGAUCUGCAUUUCUUCGUUUAGUGGAACUCAAGUGGAUAGAGGUUAAAAAGAGAAGGGGAAAGAAAUAAAGUAUUCCCUUCAAGAGGUAAAUGUUUGUAUCCCCAUUUCUUUUCACCAAGUAAACUUGAGACCCACGCCUCUUGCUUUGGGGUCACUGCUGCAAAGUGACCUGUGAGAACUGUCAGCGCAGAUCUUGAGUUUAGCAGCUAGUCAAGGUUCAUGGGGAGGGGACAUAGAAGAAAAAGAAGGAAUGGAGAGAGAGGAUAAGUGUAGAGGCCAGGGGCAGACGGGAUGCUCUGUCUUGCCUAUUUCAGUUCUUUCCUGGCUGCCCAGGUUCAGUAGUUGACUUGCAUCUGGGAGAUGGGAAACGUGCAUCUAUAAAUGCUAGGUGGGAGAUGCCCACAUCUGGGGAAGGAGCUACAGAAGGUGUAGAAGGCAGACACAGCCCUCACCCCCGAGCUAUCCUCUCCAGAAGGAGGGUCUGCUCUCUUUCAAUUAUUUUCUCUCUCCUUCCUUCUCUUCCUCCACGUCCUUCCUCUCCCCGCUCCUUUCCUCCCUCUCUCUCCUCCCCCGGCCCCUCCCCCUCCCCCUUUCCUCUGCAGCUCUGGUUGAUUUUUGAGCUCCUACAUUAAUGAUGCGACCCCAGGAAAUUCCUCCAGAUGGGAUCUUCUCCCCAGCCAUUUGCGAGUCAACUUCUACAUUUCUCAUUUUAUAAAACGAAACAGAAAUGAAAAAGUAAAGUACAAAGUUAAAAAAAAAAGAAAGAACAAUUUUAAAAAUUUUUAAUAAAAUAAAAUAAAACGAAACACACCCACAUUUCCUUAACCUUGCCUUCCCUCCUGCCUGGCUCCCUCCUUUCUCUCUGCCCGGCAACAUCCGUCGCCCACACCUGGUCUUCACUUCAUCAGGGUUGUUAAUGUGGUUGUGAAGCCACGGGCCCCGAGUACCCAGUGGAAAAUGACCUUGGAAAGAGACUCCUGCAUCGGGGCCAGAAAUACUCCUCAGUCAACACUCAUUAAAGCCCUGUUCCCCCAGCACCGAAGGCUUCCCUGCAGCCAGUGUGACUGUGGCUCCACUCCGGGAAGAAAGCUCAGGGGAACACGAGACUUGAAGGUUCCUGCUUGAGACCCCCCUCUUCUACUGACUUUCCCGCAGACCCCAAAAUAUGUGUCAGCCCGAGGCCAGGGGAUCAUUCUGUCCUCUAAGCGCUGCAUUUGCUUCUGUUUCCCCUGACACUGGGGCUCCUGUCCUGUUUCAGGUGUUGUUAGUGGAAGGGAAAAAAAACCACAGCAAAGGGGGAAAUUGUGGAAGAAAAGCUUCAACCAACGGUGCAAUUAAUUAAAUGGUAAUAAAUAAUCAUUUGAGAAAUUA